UGCUACUCCAUUUAUAAACUAAAAGAGAAAUAAGGAGCAACGUUCUCAUUAGCAGUGGCUGAUACGAGACAUUAACAUACCACAACUAGGACAGUGAAAUUCAUCAAGUAAUAUCUAAAAAAUGAAGAACAAAGUCUCCAAAAUAUAAAGCAACCUGUUCAGAAAGAGAGAGGAAAAGCCAAGGCUGGGCUCCAGCAUCAACAGGAGUCACAUGGAACAUGACCACAAUAUAUAAUUUCUAAGUCGGUUUAAGGAGGGUCCACUUUAUCCAUGGAUCUUCUAAUGAGGAAGCAGUGUGGGACUGUAGGACAAACAGGAUACUGAUACAUUGAAGCCUCUCUCAAUUGAAUUCUACAUUUAAUACCUAGAAAGGACUGAUGGAAACACAAUUAAGGGGAGACAACCAAYUUCUCUUUCGGUAAGAGUCAUUCCUUCCUGUAGCCAUGGGCAUUGUGGAAACCUUGGAAAACCUCAGUAAUUUGAAAGGAAAACACAAUCAGAAUUAAAUCCAGAAGCUCUCUUUAAAAAUCUAUUACUUUAGUUAUUUUCAGCACUAAACAGGAGCUGAAUAUUAGUGACAGAGUCAGAAAAACAAAGCUAAAUUUCAAAUUUUCUCCUCUAAGGGAAAGGAAGGGGAUGCUAGCUCCUCAAGAAGUAAA